rnacentral:rRNA from 1 species
UACGUAGGUGGCAAGCGUUGUCCGGAUUUACUGGGCGUAAAGAGCGCGCAGGCGGUCGUUCAAGUCGCGUGUGAAAGCCCCCGGCUCAACUGGGGAGGGUCACGCGAUACUGAUCGACUCGAAGGCAGGAGAGGGUAGUGGAAUUCCCGGUGUAGUGGUGAAAUGCGUAGAUAUCGGGAGGAACACCAGUGGCGAAGGCGGCCUUCUGGACGGUGACUGACGCUGAGACGCGAAAGCGUGGGGAGCAAACAGG